rnacentral:misc_RNA from 1 species
GAUGAAGAACGCAGCGAAAUGCGAUACGUAAUGUGAAUUGCAGAAUUCAGUGAAUCAUCGAAUCUUUGAACGCAUAUUGCGCUCUCUGGUAUUCCGGAGAGCAUGCUUGUUUGAGUAUCAGUAAACACCUCAACUUCCAUAUCUUUUUUGAAAUGGGAGUUGGACUUGAGUGAUCCCAACGCUUUUCCUCACCGAAAAGUGGCGGGUUACUUGAAAUGCAGGUGCAGCUGGACUUUUCUCUGAGCUAUAAGCAUAUCUAUUUAGUCUGCCUAAAAAACAGAUUAUUACCUUUGCUGCAGCUAACAUAAAGGAGAUUAGUUCUUGUGCUGACUGAUGCAGGAUUCACAAAGACAGGCUUCGGCCGACUUUGUAAAUUCGAUCUCAAAUCAAGUAAGACUACCCGCUGAACUUAAGCAUAUCAAUAAGCGGAGGA